rnacentral:rRNA from 1 species
UACGUAGGGGGCGAGCGUUGUCCGGAUUCAUUGGGCGUAAAGAGCUCGUAGGCGGCUUGGCAAGCCGGGUGUGAAACCUCCAGGCUCAACCUGGAGACGCCACCCGGGACUGCAAUGGCUAGAGUCCGGUAGGGGAUCACGGAAUUCCUGGUGUAGCGGUGAAAUGCGCAGAUAUCGAGGAGGAACACCGGUGGCGAAGGCGGUG